UACGUAGGGGGCAAGCGUUGUCCGGAUUUAUUGGGCGUAAAGAGCGUGUAGGCGGCCAAACAGGUCAGCUGUGAAAACUCGAGGCUCAACCUCGAGACGUCGGUUGAAACCGUUUGGCUAGAGUCCGGAAGAGGAGAGUGGAAUUCCCGGUGUAGCGGUGAAAAUGCGCAGAUAUCGGGAAGAACACCGAUGGCGAAGGCAGUUCUCUGGGCCGUAACUGACGCUGAGGAGCGAAAGCGUGGGGAGCGAACAGG
rnacentral:rRNA from 1 species